rnacentral:ribozyme from 3 species
UUUUUUUUUUUUUUUUUUUUUUUUUUUUUUUUUUGU